GGCCCAUUAGCUCGGUUAGUUGGGCGUCGUGCUAAUAACGCGAAGGUCGCGAGUUCGAGACACAUGGGCCU